rnacentral:lncRNA from 1 species
GUGAACUUUUCUGUGAAGAAAACCAAUUGUGACAGUAGGGGUAAAGGAAAAUCAACUCCAAAUGGAAUCAUGUUUUAUUCAGGAUUUGUGCUGCCGGUGGGGAAGGCCAGACCCAGCGACAGGAUGGGAAAGUGGGACACCCCAACUUCAAGCUUUGUGCGUUCUGCCACGAAGUUCUAUGCGCUUCACUGAGCUCAGCUCCUGGGGACCUCUAAUGGCCCUUGAUAGCAAACAUAGUUAAAAAUUAACAGACUGACAGAAUUAAAUAUGGAUGACAAGCAACCACUGUGGACUUAAUCUGACACAGGGUGUUACAUGCUUGGGUGCUUUUAACCCAAGUGGCAUCUCAAGUGAACUUCUGAGAUGUCUGGGCACAUUUCACAUGCCUGUUUGGAAGCAGGGCUUAGCUUGUGCUUAGGACAGACAGGAAAAGAGUCUAAGAGCCCAGGAGAGAAAAUUCUCCCUGGAGGCUUUUGUUUCAUUAAACCCAGCUUUGAUCAGGCUUACCAGGAUGUACUCACAGUCCUAGGACCUUGUCCUUGUGGUCUAGACCUUGUCCCUGCCUGGGCUCGGACCUCAGUAGCACCUGCCAUCGUGACUGGAAGAUCCGGCAAGAGCACAAGGCCAGCGGGGAGCAUGGCCUCCUCCAGCUAGGACUUUCUUGCUCACCUCUUUUCCAGCUGUUGGGGCAGGUGAGAUGGCAGCCUUAACCAAGGACCAAGUCAUACAAAUCUUGACAUUCUGCCUAGAUCAUAGCGACUUAAUUGCCCUAGGCAAGGACUAUUAGGUGCCAGACAGGUAGUGAAGAAUGCUGAUGGCGUUUUCAUGCCUGAGUCUGCUGAGAAAGAGUAUAGGCUGCCGAUUCUGGGGGGCAGGGAGAAGAGGAGUGGUUCCUUUACAAGAGGGCCUCAUUUCAUGCAGCAGCGAAAUUCCCAAAAAGUGUUCUUCCAGUUUUGGUGAGUGCUUUUUUAGAAAUGGAGGUGAGGGUUGCUGUUUAAAAGAAUCUUGCAAUCAGCGCUGUAAGGAAGACAAUCUUUUUGUAUUGCACAUCAUCCCUCCAGCCUAUUCGAUGAGUUUGGAGUUUCUUGGACCAGAUUAUGCUGGGCUUGGCAGCCUCUCUUCAGCCUGGCAGUCUCUGACAGAGCUUGCUGUAAUGGCCUAACGUGCUUUAUUUGGUGAUGCCACCCAAAAGUGGAUCCUGAGGUCUGGAGCGAGUAGGGCAGAGCUGAUGGUAGGUAGUCACUGUGUGAGUGGUUCCCUGCAGUUGCUCAGUGUUGGGAACGAGCCCCACAGCGAACUUCAGCGCUCCAUUCUAGGGAGAGUCAUGGAAACCUGCCUGAGAAUAUCCAUGCCUUCAAAACAUUAACCCAUUAGUUUGAGAUAACAUUCUUGUCAUUUACAUAAAACAACUUGUUCAAGCUA